rnacentral:lncRNA from 1 species
UGCCCUUCCCUGGCUCAGCGCCCGGUGCCAACAGAACACCUUGCAGGAUCCUCAGCAGCGCAGACAACACAACCUGGAUGCUCAAGAGCAGAGGAUCUAUCAACUGCAGACCAAGCAGAGGCAGAGGCAGGCAGAACCGGAGCAGUAAUGCAGCCAGAUCCAGCAGCUCAGCCAGGAGCUGGAGGCCACCGCCAGCUGCAGGAGGAAGCUCGGACACAGCGUGACUGAGGAAAAUCACAACAUCAGCUGCAUGUAAGAAACUCCUGGAAAGAAGAACAAAGCCAUCUGUUCUCCAUGUCCAUGAAGGCACGCACAAGAACUAAUGGGCGUAUCCUGCAUCAAGAAAGAUUCAGGUUAGGAACAGCUUCUAAUGGAGAGGAGAACAAAGCAGAUGAACAGACUGCCAGGGGCCUGAGGUUUCUGCAUCACAGGAGAUCUUCAAGGACAGAUGAACAGAAGACAAGGCACCUGUAGGUUCGCCUGUCACAGAACUGGAGGAUGGGCCAUCAACCUCGUGAGAUUCAUGCCAGCCUUGCUCAUUUCCUAAACCCAGCUUUGUUCAUACCCUGAAACCCAGCUGUCUUCUUCAGAGCCCUGCUGUAGAGUCUCCUCUAGCGUUCGUGUGCUAUCAACGUAUCGUUUGCCAGGGUGAUUCUUCUCUCUAGAAAAGUGACUGCGCUUGAGUCUUGGAUGGAUGCUUGCUUCCUACUGUGGGUCACCUAACCUCCAGGAGACUCAACGCCUGCUUUGUGCUUUAGAUGGUGUCCUAUCUCAAGCUGUGUUGCCCAUGUUCCUGUGCUGGAUAGCAGUGUUGAUCUGUGGGAUUGUUCUUCCCUCUUUCUUGGCACCUCAUUCCUAUGCUUCUGCAGGCUCGUUCACAGGAGACUGGCUGAGGAGCACACUCAUUUGAUGUUUUCUCAGGUGGAGGAAGUGGCAUCCCUGAAGGCAGAGCUGGCCCAAGCCCACAAAAAGAAUGCCAAGCAGAAGGAGACAGUUGCCGCCUAUGAGGAAGAGAGGCAACAGUUCCACAGGGAGGUGAAGAAGCUGGAGAGGGCCCAGGAGCAGAGGCAGCUGGAGCCUCCACAGGGCAGCAACCUGACUGCACGAGCCCUGCAGAACUCAGCAGGGCUGUCUCUGCCUGGAACUCACCUCCAGGAUGAGAAGUGACACAAAACAACAGAAGGGUUAAAGACUGACAACCUUUAAACAAAUAAAAUUGUUUCUGUUCUGUAACA